AAGGAGAAUUUAAUAUAUGGAUCUGCACCAUAUGUGAAAGAAGAGCUGAGAAGUUAAAAAGAACACAGGGAGAUAUUCUGGGGAUUAGAAACAACACAAAACAGUCACAACCAUCUGGAAUGGGAGGGAUGCAAGAGGAGGUAGUUACCAUAACUAUAGAGCAGGAAUCAGAAUCACACCUCUGUAGAGACAACUUGACAGAAGCUAGAAUAUCAAAGGAUGGAACUCUCUGGUAGAGGAUAUGUUGGUUUAUGUUACUGAAGAGGCUAAGGGUCAGCUCAAUCUCUUGGCCCCGAAACGGCAGCCAGAAGCUUUUGCAUGCUCUCUUGUUCUUAUACUACAUGGGAAAAGAAAGAGCUUCCAUCAUCAGUCAUUUAAAGAAAAAUUGGACCUCAUUCAGACAGAAACAGCUGAAGACAGCAUAGAGAUGUUCACUAACCAGUCCACGAAUACCCAGCCAGAAGGUGAAAGAGCUGGAAACGGACCUCACACAUUUCAACACCACAGGACUAUUCUUGACAUCUAUGCCAAGUUAUCUAUUGUGAAACUAGUGAAAUAAUUGAAUAAAAGUUAUUCUUGAUUUAAAAAAUCAUCUGGCCUUAUAUUUCAUUUACCACAUCUUGUGGCCAAAUUGUCACUUCCCAAUAUCAGC
rnacentral:lncRNA from 1 species